rnacentral:misc_RNA from 1 species
UCAAACUUGGUCAUUUAGAGGAAGUAAAAGUCGUAACAAGGUUUCCGUAGGUGAACCUGCGGAAGGAUCAUUAACUAUUCCGCCCGGCGCGACCCCGCCCGGGAGGUGGUGUUAACCGCUCCUCCGCGUCGUGUCUGCUGUCCUUGGGCCGCAGUCCGGCGUUGAUCGAGUUACCCGACCCUCAUGUGAACCCACUGAAAUCUGCUUCGGCAGCGCGGCCGACAUACGUAGGCCGGUAAGGCUGCCGGUGGCCCCUUGUGUUAAAACCAUUACAUGCUGUCUCAAAAUUUUUGAAGUCUGAUCAUUGAUGAAUUUUAAAUAUCAAGAAAAGUUAAAACUUUCAGCAACGGAUCUCUUGGUUCCCGCAUCGAUGAAGAACGCAGC